rnacentral:misc_RNA from 1 species
GAAGAUUUGGGCAGGGCUGAACCGGCUUCCAUCGUUCCACAAGUUUGCGGACAUGGCGGUGCCAACCGCGGCUCAGUGGUUGGAGAGCUACAACCGCAAGGUGAAAGAAAUGAGGCAGAAGGGUUACCAUGUCUUCGAUUAUUGUCCUGAAGUUCCUGUGAGUAAGAUAGCAAAGGCAUUUAAGCAGGGCGAGGCGAAGGAGAAG